AAAUAAUUACGUUUAAUCACAGUAGUGGUACGCACGACAAUAUACAACAGUAUACGAUGUUAGAAAUCUUAACGCUGGUCGGGCACCGAGAACAAAUUAGUUUAUUUUACAUACCUCGGUGACUGGUUUUACUCCAGGCCAUUGCAAAAUUACCUGGCACUAAGCAGUGCUAAACUGUUGUGUUUUUUAAUCUUUUCAUCAAAAAGGCUUACCCUUUUACUCUACAAUAUGUAUUUCAACCAACCGAUAUACUCUAGCCAGUUUUAAAUAUAAAUAUAUAAGCGAAAACAAUAAUUGUUUUUAUUUAUAUUUUAGCAAACGCCACAAUAAAAUAGUAGUUCUAUGAUUGAAAUUUGAGAAACUUAACUCCACAGUGGACCACGUAUUGUCAUAGCCAGACUACAGGUAUGUAUGUAUUAUUCUGUGGAUAAACAAUUGGCAUUCGAACUUAUUAUAAUACUAUUCAGUAAUUAAGGUUACCCGUGAAAUCUAAAGGCUGUAAUAUGUGAGUUAAGGCCUCGUUAAUAAUUGUGACAUGGGGUCAUUUGUCAAAGUCCGCUUUAUAAUAUACAUUUUGCAUAUAUUUUUGUAUUCGACUUUAGUCAAAGACAUGACAAGACUUUCGAUAAGAGAAAAUAGAAUGACUAUUUAAAUUGUACCGUUCUUUUUCAUGGUUAAAACAUAAAGUAAGUGAAAUCAGCAUGUUGUUAUCCAAUACCAAUUAAACUAUUGUUAUAGCGUAAUUUCGUACUUAUACGGUACCACUGGUAGGUGGUAAUCAGCAUGUUGUUAUCAAAUACCAAUUAAAGUUAGCACACUGUUAUAUCGUAACAACAUGUAUAUAACCCAAACUGUGUCACCAACAGUACAACAGUAAACAGAGUACAAGAUCUAUGUAAGAUUUCCAUUUGCACCCCACCCAACAAUGCCUGUGUUAUUGUUAAGUUUAUACAUUUAUGGUAUUUUGUAUCUAUCGAUGUGAUGAUUUAUGUAGCGCAUUCUCUAUAUCGAGUAUGUAUGGAUUGGUUUAUUCGGUUUAAGGUCCUAUAAACAGCCAGGGUCAUAGUAUGUAUUGGAACGAAGAUGACCAAUAUCGACCGUGGCCGGAGGCCGAAGUUGAUAUUGGGUGUCCGAGCCCCAUGAAUCAUCAUAUCGAUAGAAACAAGGUGCUAAACUGUUUUAUUACAUUUUGGUGUCAAAACCUGAGAAUGAUGAAGGUAUGAUUCCGUGCCAUUUCAACUGCAUCUUAUUUCAUGAUAUUCAACACAACGUCAUAAUACCGCAUCUUUGAUAAUACAUCGUAAUUCACUCUCGUGCAACUUGAUGGGAAUCGAGGUGUCUGACAAAUAUGAAUGACAGAAAUUACGCUUCGUCACAGUACACUUGCAUGAACGUGUAAUACGAUGAUUUAUCAGUCCCGGAGCGCAUUUCGAUGUUAAAUGGAACGACACGUGCUCGGAUGUAGACCAAUCAGCAUAUGAUUUUUAUUUAUUUAAGGGCUUAACGUCCGCUAUAACAGCCUUAAUACCUUUCAGUUGGCAUCUGGUAGGAAACUGAAAAGGUAAUAAUAACUGUGAUUGUACUAAACUACACCCAUCCGCUAAUACCUACAUUGGGUUUUUUCCUCAAUCAUCCUGAGAGCUUUAUGAAGUCGUUAACAUUUUUGACAAUAUCAAUUAAUUUUCAAUAGGGUUGCAAAUGGAAUUCUUUUCCAAUAACAAAUUAACAACUGCAAAUACACAUAACUUCUAAAAAUGUGUUAAACCAGUAAUACAAGUGAUUUGACUUUAUGUCUACGUAGUGAACAAAGCCCUAUAACAACUAAUGUAAUCAGCCUGUAGUACAGUGUAGGUUUGGUCAACAAUUGAUGUAAUACAGUGUAGGUUUGGUCAACAAUUGAUGUAAUACAGUGUAGAUUUGGUCAACAACUAAUGUAAUCAGCCUGUAGUACAGUGUAGGUUUGGUCAACAUUGAUGUAAUACAGUGUAGAUUUGGUCAACAACUAAUGUAAUCAGACUGUAGUACAGUGUAGGUGUGGUCAACAAUUGAUGUAAUUAGACUAAUACAGUGUAUGUGUGGUCAACAAUUGAUGUAAUCAGACUGUAGUACAGUGUAGGUGUGGUCAACAAUUGAUGUAAUCAGACUGUAGUACAGUGUAGGUUUGGUCAACAUUGAUGUAAUACAGUGUAGGUAUGGUCAUCAAUUGAUGUAGUACAGUGUAGGUGUGGUCAACAAUUGAUGUAAUCAGACUGUAAUACAGUGAAGGUGUGGUCAACAAUUGAUGUAAUACAGUGUAGGUGUGGUCAACAAUUGAUGUAAUACAGUGUAGGUUUGGUCAACAAUUG